rnacentral:piRNA from 6 species
UGGUCUAGUGGUUAGGAUUCGGCG